UUGACAUGUUGAGAAAUAAUUAAGUGCGAAAUUCUAAGGCUGUAUGAUCUAUUAACAACAUGAAUUGCAUUUUUCAUCCUUACUGGAUGUUGAGCAUGGCUAGAUUAUAUUUGGCAUUAACACCAUCGGUGUGUAUGCAAAAUCCUCUUUUUUCUCAAUUAUGGUUAAUGCUAUUGUAUGAUACAUAAAAAUUUAGAUAUGAGGGCACUCUUGCUGUAUACACAUGGUAUGACUAUUCUGAAAAAGUUAAAAUUAUAAAAGCAGAUAAGUUCACAGGUUCACCGGUGGAAGUUUUAGGAAUAAAAAGAUCAAAGAAAAGAAGAGUUCAUAAAAUGGUAGUACUGUCUGCUGUUGGCUGAUGUCUCAUGUUGCCUGAAGCCCCUGCUGCUUGCUAGCUACUUGUUGUGCGUGCGCAUUUGUGUGCUGCUGCUGUUUGUUGCUGCAGCAGGGUGAUGUGUGUGAGAGAGAUAGAUAGCAAAUGGAAUUAUCUUCCACAUUGACUAACUCGUGACACACUUGGUUCAGUUUCUAAAUUUAAUCUUGUUCAAUUAGAAUUUUAAUUCAGUUCAAAGACUGUUUCUAUUUAUCUCCUCGAUGUUCAGUUUUGUGUUCUGUUGUUUGCCCCCAAUUGAUCCUUGUGUUAAUGUUUGUAUAUGUUGUGCACUUCUGAUCCCAUAGUGAAGUGAAAAAUGACAAGCGAGAUACGUACUAGUUUGGAAAGUUUCCAAGUUUGAACACAUAAACCUAAAAAAGUUCAUUGAAAAAGUUUGGUUUGCCUGUUCCGUGAAAAUGUCUUGCUAAAGAAAUAUCUCUUGUGCACUUAUUUAUUCGCCUGAAUAUUUGUUUUGAUUCUUAGGUGCGAGAUGGCGGCCGCUGACAUCUCUAAAUCCCUCUACAAACAGGUGGUUGGCUACUCCAAGCGGUAAAUGUGGUCGGAUUCAGCAGCUAGCUCUUCCUCGAGCAACCAUUUGGAGAACUUUAUUGUGUUCUUGUGGUGGUGAUUGAUUUUAGGAUCAGUAAAGUUGAUGUUGGUAGCUAACUUGCGUAUGGAACCUGCAAAUUCAAUAUUGGCAUUAGAUUCAGUUCUUGUACAAAUGUCCCAGAGUUCACAUUUAUGUGGGUAAAAGUUUAUUUUAAUUCAGCUACAGAAACCAUGCAGGUUCAGUGAUGAUGAUACCAUAAGUUCGGACAAGAAAAAAAAUAAGAAUUAAAACAAAAUACUUUAAAUUCUAUAAGUUCAAGUGCUCAUCCACACAAGGUAAUUCA
rnacentral:lncRNA from 1 species